AACUUUUAACAAUGGAUCUCUUGUCUCGUGCGUUGAUGACGAACGCAGCCAGCUGCAAUAAUAGGUAGUGACCGUAGUGUGAAUUACAGAAUUCAGCUAACAUCUGUUGGAUUACGAUUGAACGCCUCUAAAUCAGAAUUCGUGCUAGAACGCAAAGAUUCCUUUCUCUGGACCACUGCGCGAACGAGAAUAGUGAUGCGACUCGUCGUGCCUCCUUUUGUGUCACUAAGGUGCCCAUGGAGCAGACUAUGCACCUAAGCACUACAGCGAUCAAAAUCUAAAUUUUCCAGAGCUUAUAAAUCCUUUGCGGACGACAUAAAUAAAGAACGAGGUAUCGUAAGUAGUAGAAUAGUGGAGUAUCCAUGUUGCUAUGAUCUGCUGAUCCCUUGGACAAAGGUUCU